GACGAACGCUGGCGGCGUGCCUAAUACAUGCAAGUAGAACGCACAGUUUAUACCGUAGCUUGCUACACCAUAAACUGUGAGUUGCGAACGGGUGAGUAACGCGUAGGUAACCUGCCUGGUAGCGGGGGAUAACUAUUGGAAACGAUAGCUAAUACCGCAUAAUAUUGAUUAUUGCAUGAUAAUUGAUUGAAAGAUGCUAUUGCAUCACUACCAGAUGGACCUGCGUUGUAUUAGCUAGUAGGUGAGGUAACGGCUCACCUAGGCGACGAUACAUAGCCGACCUGAGAGGGUGAUCGGCCAAACAGGGACUGAGACACGGCCCAGACUCCUACGGGAGGCAGCAGUAGGGAAUCUUCGGCAAUGGACGAAAGUCUGACCGAGCAACGCCGCGUGAGUGAAGAAGGUUUUCGGAUCGUAAAGCUCUGUUGUAAGAGAAGAACGGGUGUGAGAGUGGAAAGUUCACACUGUGACGGUAUCUUACCAGAAAGGGACGGCUAACUACGUG
rnacentral:rRNA from 1 species